CUACGGGAGGCAGCAGUGGGGAAUAUUGGACAAUGGGCGAAAGCCUGAUCCAGCAAUUCCGCGUGUGUGAAGAAGGCCUUCGGGUUGUAAAGCACUUUAGUGGGGGAAGAAACAGCUUGGCCACACCAAGCCUUGACGGUACCCCAAGAAUAAGCACCGGCUAACUCUGUGCCAGCAGCCGCGGUAAUACAGAGGGUGCAAGCGUUAAUCGGAUUUACUGGGCGUAAAGGGUGCGUAGGUGGCUAUUUAAGUCGGAUGUGAAAGCCCGGGGCUCAACCUCGGAAUUGCAUUCGAUACUGAGUGGCUAGAGUUCGGUAGAGGGCGGCGGAAUUUCCGGUGUAGCGGUGAAAUGCGUAGAUAUCGGAAGGAACAUCAAUGGCGAAGGCAGCCGCCUGGGCCUGGACUGACACUGAGGCACGAAAGCGUGGGCAGCAAACAGGAUUAGAUACCCUGGUAGUCCACGCCGUAAACGAUGAGAACUUGACGUUGGUCGUUUUACGAAUCGGUGUCGCAGCUACGCGAUAAGUUACUCCGUCCGUCGGGAGGUACGGCCGGCGACGGUUAGUAAACGUUAAACGGUAAGUUAGACGGCGUGAGACGUGCCGAACGGACGACGACGAGGGAGGUAGG
rnacentral:rRNA from 1 species